AUGGUAACUUUACUCGAAAACAGUCGUGGAGCAGUGUCCACUUGUUCUCCCGUAACUUUUCUUUAGUGCUGUGGUUAGUGCCUUUAUUGAACUAUCAAACCUGACAAAUUACAAAGUAUAGCCACGUUUUUGGAGAACACAAACUUUGUGCAGAAUUGGGAUAUUUCUGUCAUGAGCAAUAUAAACCCAGUGGUAGCAUAUUAUCAGACUUAAAAAUUACAGACCUAUACGACAAAUUAUAUAGCUUUGUCAGCUAUCUUUCAAGAAAUAGCGUGAGCUUAAUACAAGAUGUUGACAAUAAUGUAUCGAAGCAAUUUAACUCAAUCAUUGCAAAAUUUAUUGGUGGAAAAUGCAUUAAUUAUUGCCAACGAGGAUCAUAUCAGGCUCGCUGUUUAGCUUCUGUAAUUUCUCAUAAUACUAAAAAGCCUAUAUACACGAUUAAAAAAUUCCUUAAUCAUAAAAGCCCGAUUGGCUUAGUUAAAAACAGGGAAUUAAAGAAAAAAUAUAUUAAACGGAAAAGAUUAUUUCAAACCAAAGAGAAGUCUGGACUUGAUAGCAGUUACGGUGAUCAAUGUCAAAAGCCUGAUCUAACACCUGAGGAGUUGCAAAAAGAAAAAGAAGAUUUUCUAGAUAGUAUUAAAAAAAAUGCAGAAGAUAUCAAAUUAAUUGAAGAGCUCACAAAGGAACAGAGCCAAUCUGAUUUGUGGCACUUAGAGCGAAGAAAGCGUCUUACGGCAUCAAAUUACUAUGCAAUUUGCUCUAAAUUUAGUGCCAGAAGCAACGGCGAUACAAAAAAGCUCAUGGAACAACUUCUGUACCCAAAAACAAUUCAUUCUGCUAGCAUUGAGUGGGGCAAACAAAAUGAAAAACGGGCAAUCAAUGUUUUAGAAACAUUAAUUAAUGAGAAGAUAUUACCAAGCGGCUUAUUUGUAAGCGAAAAUAUUUCAUUCUUGGCAGCGACUCCCGAUGGCCUUAUUGGGAAGAAGGGGAUUGUUGAAAUCAAAUGCCCCUUUAGUGCUAAAAAUCUCACCCCUGAAGAUGCGAUAAUGCAAAGAAAAAUAUCAUUUUGGAAGAAAAACGGAGAAAUUAAUAAAAACCACAAAUGGUUUUACUAAAUACAAGGCCAAUUGUUGGUAACUGGGAGAUCCUACUGCUGCUUUGCAGUUUGGACACCUUUAGGCAUUAAGAAGGAAAUUAUUUUAAAAAACGAUGUAUUCUGCGAAAACAUGAAAAAGAAAUUAACUAUAUUCUAUUCGAUAUGUUAUUUACCUGAGCUUGUAGAUCCUCGCAAAAAUAGAAAUAUGCAUGUUAGAAAUAUUUUCCUAAAAGAAUAUACGAUUGUAUAAGU